UCAAAGCUGUUUUUCAAUGUCGCGCUUAAGGUAGCACGGUAAACACGAACAGUUCACAAACAACCGAGUGCGUGUCUUCGCCAGCAGAAGUUAAUCAGUUCAGAGAUAACAAACGGCGAGCAUACAGUCAGGUCACGUGACUUGUUCCAAUCUGACGUCAUCGACAUCAGAUGCAGGUGAUAGCAUUGUUCGCCAGCUGAAACAAGUCAAAGUUGGUCUGGAAAGCUGUGAAAAAGGGUGAAAGCGUCGAUGACAGGCCGUUGAUCAAGGUGUGCUGGAAUACAGAACACUGAAGUAACAGGUUAAAAACGGAUUUCUCAGAAAUAAAAGGACGCGGAACUGAUUUCUGCUUGCAGUGCAUCAACUACCAAGCUGCGCGCGCAACUUAUGUUUAUUUACCGAGUUCACAGAUUGCGAAAGUGCGACGACAAAUUUGUUUACCUGACGGAGUACGGAAAAGCCACGCACGGAUGUCUUCGACUUUACACUACUUCCAUAACAGUGACAACAACAGCCGGUCAGGAUGAGAGGUAGACAGGUAACAAGUCAGAGGAUUGAAAAGAAACCUUCGGAGGUAGUGAUGAUAAUCCAAGCACGGAUGCCUGGGGGAAGACACCAAGUCAUCAGUUCAUCGGAUCAUCAGGUCAUUCUGACAGGGGGGUCAGAUCUUCCGUUUGGAGAAUGCCAGAGGAAAGCAGACAGGUAUACCAACAGCGUCAAGAAGAAUUUGUAUCGUGGGCCACAAUGUUCUGUCUUGACACCAAAGAACGACAGAAGAGGAUCAACCGCUUCAUCUGGCAGCAGGGACCCCCUCACGUCCUGCACGUACAGACUGGAGGCGUUCCCGCGACCUCCGAAGCACGUGACUUGGAGGGACGAAGAGAGCGGAGAGGGGCUGGUGACAGUUCUCGCGUAGUUUGACGAAGGGACUUAAUUCUUGGAGGAGAGGACAAAAGAGUGAACUUUCCUUUCUCUCCAACACCUUUGGCAGCAAUCAAGAUGGGAGGACAGCGCUUCGACAGACAUUUUGGACUUGGUUCUGCACAGCACAGGAGACAGUCGUAUCGUCAGAGCCUAUGAUCCACCACCCCUCCCCCUACCCCUUCCCACACACACUCGUUGUACCCGUCACAGCAAACGUGGUCAAACGAACUCAGGAGUGGUUAGUCGAGAUGGUCCUUUAACAGCUGUUCAAAUCUCUUGUGUGCAUCAAAAUUAAGAAGGAGGCUACAGGUGUAAAUAUACUUGGACAGUUAGCCAACUGUAUGUCAAACGUAAUCGCAUGUUUCCGUGUGAAAGAAUUGCUUCAAGGAGUCAGCUAACCCAAACACCUGCAUGAACCCGGCAGAAUAUCCAGCAAAAUCAGAAAAGUAUAACCUCAAGUUAUAGAAACAUAUCGUUGAUUAGUUCUUGUUCAUGCAGCCAUAUAGGACGUCCGUCCGAGCUGUUUAAGUAACUCGAAGUCCGUUAUUGUUCUAUGACUGUUCUGAUGUCCCUUGAUGAACCCCUUGUGAAAUCUAGACCUCGGUAAGACCACCUGCACAAUUCGAUACCUCUCUAAAUUUGGAACUAAGACCAUGUAAAACAAUCUCUUCGUGGCAGUGAACGGAAAACUUUGUAAUCAAAUCUCUUCAAGCAUCGGACAAAGCUCUUCUACCGUUCCCGUAUUGUCAUCUCACCUGGGGAGGGAGCGGUGUUCAUUUCUACCCUUUAGAAUAUUCGUCAAGCGAGAAUAUUGUGUCACAAGGUGUGCCUUGAUCAUCUCUACUAAUGUGUUGUGUCACGUGUACCAUGAUCAUAUUUAUUAUUGUAAUACACAGCAAGAUGAGGAGGUGGUGGGGGGGGGGUCAUACAUUCAUACAGAACUAUCUAAGGGAAAUGAUUUUAUAGAUUGCUAAUGCAUUUAAUUUCUUGAAGAACACCCCGAUCUUCUCUCCGAUCUUUUUCGGGUUUUCGACGCAAGGUUAGAGGAAGGUUUACGGCCAUCAACAGUUUUGGGAAAAUUCUGCAUUCAAGACAUUCAUUUGAACACUGGAGGUUACAAUUUGUUGUGGGAAAGCUGUUGGAAAUAUACUGAGAGCAAGAUAGACUCAGAAGCAUGAACAAAAACUUGGUUUUGUAAGCUUCCUGUAGUUGGUGUGUUGUUGUUGUUUGAAUUCAUGCCUGUAAAUACUUGCAUCAUAAAGUGCGAACACUGGUGCGAAUAAAGAUUUAAACGAUU